CGACGAGAGAAAAGAAGAAGAAAAGCAACCAGCGCCUCGCACGACCCUGCCCCUCGAUCCCAUAUACACCUCCUUCCUGCCGCCACCUCCUGCCCCGCGCCGCCCGCCCCACACCGCCUCGAUUGGGACCGUGUCCCUCCCCAAACGACGGCGAUGAUGGAGGGCGCCGCCCAGCUCCUGGCUGACGGAUUUGCUGGCUCCCCGCUCCUCGGGGCCAGCCCCUCCCCGUGCCGAGUCGAGCAUCGACUUGGAGGCCCCUUGGGGCUGCCGCCGGUGCGGGAGUUCCGUGCGGCCGUGCGGGCUGGGUACCGAGCGGCGGGGCCCGUGGUGCGACGCUCGAUGGAUGGCCUGCACAACGCGGACGACUGCUUCUCUCCCAGGAGGGCCAUAGGAAGCCACUACAUGUCGGAGCUGUUGCAGGAGCACCAGAAGCUUAUCCUGUUCACACAGGUGCUACCAAUCUGCAUCAAACUAUUGGGCCACUAUGAGAGCCUGGAUUCACUCCCUCGCCGCCGCCCGGUCUACCAUUAUUGGCCUAGGCGUCUCACUUGUCACAUAUUGUUAUCAACUCAGAGAAGAAAAAGGUUCCAUGAGGGUGUAUAUUACAGAAGUGGAGAAAGAGCUCGCCUACCAUGCAUGUUGCCUGGUCCGAUGAGCAGUGCUACGCCAAGUGCCCCGUCAGAGUGCAGCCGCACAGCGCUGCCUGCUGUUGAGGACCCCGGAGCCUAGACAGUUAGCUUGGCAACUUCCAGCCCCCCACCACCUUUCUUGACAGCCACGACACCCAUCUUUUCGUCUAUGCCUCAUUGGAUGCACUUCCAUUGUAUGUAAUGUUAGAUAUACACAAUCAUAGAUACAUAUAUGAUCUUCCACCUCGGCUCCUAUACUGAUAAGAUUUGUGUUGAUACAUGAUUCUCAACAAAGUGUGCUACCAAACUUUUUCACGAAAAGUGUACUACCAGUUGGUGUGAUAUCAUGUCCUUAGAAACGCCCCCGAUGGAAUGACCACGACCAUGUUGUUGCCUGGAGUCUUUUUUCAUGAUGAUGUCGCUAUUCGUCAUCCCACAAUUUAUGCGGUGGAGCGUCAACGACCUCAGCGUGUUGCAGGAGAAGACCAUGAAUAUCGGCAAGAAAGAUGUUGAUCCAGGAAGGUGCAACACUGUGAUGUGAGGUGAACACAAGCAUGACCUACAAUCUCGACGCCCACCAUCCAUGUGCCUUGCAAGCAGCAAUUGUUCACAUCCUUGAUAUUUGUCACUGCCCUCAUCUCAUCUAUCCCGACAGUCUCAGUGUCCAGGCAAGUUGCACUAUUACACGAUCUGAUGAGGAAGAGAAAAGAGAGGAGGGAAUGGAAAAUGGAGUGAGCUAAUUGGAAGGGUGCCGAGUAUGGUGCAUACAUGUCAGCGAUGGUAGUCAAAACUUGAUGCUGAGUGCUGAUGGCAUGGUAGAUUGCGAUAAUGUGUUUUGAUUGGAGACACAGGGACAGUGGGUAAAGGAAGAAGUAGAAGGGUGAUUUGUGUAAAAGCACUAGAAGAUAAUGUCCCCGUAAAAUUGAAUUAAAAAAUUAUUGCAUAA